GAACGAAGCACUUUAUUGGAUUUUCUUCGGAGAUGAAGAUGUUGUGACUGAGUGGCGGACGGGUGAGUAACGCGUGGGCAACCUGCCCUGUACCGGGGGAUAACAGCCGGAAACGGCUGCUAAUACCGCAUAAGCGCACGAGAGCGCAUGCUUUUGUGUGAAAAACUCCGGUGGUACGGGAUGGGCCCGCGUCUGAUUAGCUUGUUGGCGGGGUAGAAGCCCACCAAGGCGACGAUCAGUAGCCGACCUGAGAGGGUGACCGGCCACAUUGGGACUGAGACACGGCCCAAACUCCUACGGGAGGCAGCAGUGGGGAAUAUUGCACAAUGGGGGGAACCCUGAUGCAGCGACGCCGCGUGAGUGAGGAAGUAUUUCGGUAUGUAAAGCUCUAUCAGCAGGGAAGAAAAAAUGACGGUACCUGACUAAGAAGCACCGGCUAAAUACGUGCCAGCAGCCGCGGUAAUACGUAUGGUGCAAGCGUUAUCCGGAUUUACUGGGUGUAAAGGGAGCGCAGGCGGUACGGCAAGUCUGAUGUGAAAGCCCGGGGCUCAACCCCGGUACUGCAUUGGAAACUACCGGACUGGAGCGUCGGAGGGGUAAGUGGAAUUCCUAGUGUAGCGGUGAAAUGCG
rnacentral:rRNA from 1 species